UGGGGAAUAUUGGACAAUGGGCGCAAGCCUGAUCCAGCCAUGCCGCGUGAGUGACGAAGGCCUUAGGGUUGUAAAGCUCUUUUGGCGGGGAAGAUAAUGACGGUACCCGCAGAAUAAGCUCCGGCUAACUUCGUGCCAGCAGCCGCGGUAAUACGAAGGGGGCUAGCGUUGUUCGGAAUUACUGGGCGUAAAGCGCACGUAGGCGGAUCAGCAAGUCAGGGGUGAAAUCCCGGGGCUCAACCUCGGAACUGCCUCUGAUACUGCUGGUCUGGAGUCCGGAAGAGGUGGGUGGAAUUCCUAGUGUAGAGGUGAAAUUCGCAGAUAUUAGGAAGAACACCGGUGGCGAAGGCGGCCCACUGGUCCGGUACUGACGCUGAGGUGCGAAAGCGUGGGGAGCAAACAGGAUUAGAUACCCAGGUAGUCCCUGAGCGGGCUGGCAAGGCGCAU
rnacentral:rRNA from 1 species